rnacentral:rRNA from 1 species
UACAGAGGUCUCAAGCGUUGUUCGGAUUCAUUGGGCGUAAAGGGUGCGUAGGUGGCGAGGUUAGUCAGGUGUGAAAUCUCGGGGCUCAACCCCGAAACUGCACUUGAUACUGCCUUGCUAGAGUACUGGAGAGGAGAUUGGAAUUUACGGUGUAGCAGUGAAAUGCGUAGAUAUCGUAAGGAAGACCAGUGGCGAAGGCGACUUCCUGGACCAGUACCGACGUUCAGGCACGAAAGCGUGGGGAGCAAACAGG